ensembl:lncRNA
GUUUCCAGAGGAGGCCGUCCAUACGUCUGUUUGUUUAGCUCUGUGCUUUUGAUCACACUCUUCCCUCCACGAAUAGCUCUCUUAUGAUAACUAUGCCAGGCCUGUAUAGUCCACACGGCACAGACAUCGUGCAGAUAUGGAAACUGAGGUUUAGCAGGCCGUAUGAGAUGAGAACAGAGGCUCGGAGAGGUUACCUCAUGUUGCCAGAGUCACAAAGCACGUGGUCUUAUCUGCACCUAGAAACUCUUUGAAAGCAAUUUGAAGUCUCAGUGAUUUCUCUUGUGUUCCAAGGGCAGUGCCCGAGUGAAGCCGGCCUGGAUGAUCAAAGAGCCCUUCAUAGUAGAUAAAAGAUAAUUUGAGGAGCCGGAGAGGAAGAAGGUUGGAGGGUUUCUUUUUCCCUUUGUUUUCCAUUCCACCCGCUUUCAGUGGGACUGGAUUCUGCUCCUCUAGGUGGGGGAAAAGAGGCAAAUUUUCUACAGAUGUCUGCGCAGACUACGCGCCCUCAGGACAGAUGGCCGCCAGCCUGGCCUCCACGGGGUGUAAAGGCUGUUUCCCUCCACUAGGCUCCUUCUCCCCACUAGGCUCCUUCUCCCCACUAGGCUCCUGAACUUCGCUUUCUCUGCCGCUCUUUAGCCGUUGCGUUUCUGCGGCCCCGUCUGUCUCGCUCUCCUCGCGGCUCCGUCCUUGGCUCUGUCUCCUGCCGUCCAUGCUUCUAGUCUCCUGCUUUGCUCCCUCUCCCUUUGUCUUCCCUCCUCGUCCUCUUUGCCACUUCACUGCAUCCUCUGCCUUGUUUGCCUCCUUUCCUUUCAUGCUCUCAUUUUUGAUGCUCCUCUUUACCUUUCUCUCUCUCUCUGAUUCUGAUUCAUAACAUCUUGAAAGAGCGUUUGAUAACGCUUGCCUGACCCUGCCUGACAUCGGGUGAGUGAUUCUCCUCAGGCAGCUUUUGAUGUGGUCUGUGUGAGAUUGAUGAAAGCUGCUCAAUUUGCUCUUCAAAGCUCUGCUUAUGGAAAGCCCGGAUGCAUCUCCUCGGGAUGCCACUCUUUCGCUUUCCAGAAACAAGGCCAAAGGAUCGGAGGAACCCAUGCUACUUCCCACGUGAUCAUCAUCCUCACAGAAGCCUUAAUGCUCGCAAGAGAUGGAGCACAUUGCAUAAUCCACCUUUUAAUUUUUUCUUUAACUGUUGUUACUCCCAUAGUCCUCGUAUCUGAGAUUUUUACCCACAAAGAAGAUUCCUUGGGCAACCUUUAAUUUGAAUACGACUCUCAGCCCAGAAAAGAACUUAGGUUUGGACACUGAGUACUAAAAUAGAAGAAAAAUGUCAUCUAUUACUUCCAGAGUCUAAGGACAUUAGGUAUCCUGGCUAAUUAGGAUAGUCAGCCUAAAAUGAGAGGAGCCAUAAUCAAAAGAAUUGUCUGCAGCUUCUGGUUCUAGAAAGAACAGUGGGUCAGGUUCUUUCUAGCACUAAUCACACUGGAUCCCAAAAGCAUAUGAGAAAAUGAGGUGUGUUUUUCAUCUGGUUCAGGUUUUCUGAAGCACUGUUUCUGUUUUUCAUCCUAAGAAGAGGAUUCUUGCACCUGCAUGAGAAGGCUUACAUGUUCAGCUGCUUGAAGAAAGAGGGAUAGACAAACAAUCAGGAGGAGAUCUUUCUAGCUCUGAGAUGCUCUGAUUCUGAGAAUCUAAUACUUUAGAUAUGAUAAAUAUAGUGU